rnacentral:lncRNA from 1 species
GUGGCGUAGCCUUCCCCAGUACCUCCUCCUCCCGGAAGAGCGAAAUAUUGCGAAGCCUCCCAGCGGCCUCCGCAAAUCGCGCUUAUAAAUCCCCUGCACCGUCGUUCCCUCUCCAUUGCAUCAGAGUUCUCGUUCCAAACCCGGGCUUCUUUCCCAGAGAUAGAGAGAGAGAGAGAGAGAGAGAGAGAGAGAGAGAGAGAGAGAGAC